rnacentral:rRNA from 1 species
GUAGGUGGCAAGCGUUGUCCGGAAUUAUUGGGCGUAAAGCGCGCAGGCGGUUCUUUAAGUCUGAUGUGAAAGCCCACGGCUCAACCGUGGAGGGUCAUUGGAAACUGGAGAACUUGAGUACAGAAGAGGAAAGCGGAAUUCCACGUGUAGCGGUGAAAUGCGUAGAGAUGUGGAGGAACACCAGUGGCGAAGGCGGCUUUCUGGUCUGUAACUGACGCUGAGGCGCGAAAGCGGGGGAGCAAACAGGGAUUAGAUACCCUGGUAGUCCACGCCGUAAACGAUGAGUGCUAAGUGUUAGGGGGUUUCCCGCCCCUUAGUGCUGCAGCUAACGCAUUAAGCACUCCGCCUGGGGAGUACGGCCGCAAGGCUG